rnacentral:lncRNA from 1 species
UCAUUGACAUAAGUUGAAGGAAAGUACCUCCGGCUGCAACAUUGUCAUUUCCUUGCCUUCCAGCACCUGGUGCAUUAUCUGCCCUGAUAGCAGCCCUAGGUGGUUGGGGAGGUGCAGCUGCCCUCUGCAUUCCUUGUGAAAGCCACCGUAUCAAAGGUGCAAGAGCUCCAGUUUGAUAUCUACAAUAACCAAUAGGGAAAUAUAUGGUGCCACUUAAUGACAAAGCAAAAAGAAAAGGACAUGUAUUUCAAUGAACACAACAGUAAGUCUUCCCUCGUCAAUUCAACCAACAUACAAAUUAUAUGAUAAAAAGAAAAAAACUAUGAUACAAAAAUAUGGAGGCAUUAUAGCACUAAUUACACUUAUUCAAGUUGGUUACUGUGGUAAGCAAGCAUAUUUAGUGGGGCCAGUAAACCAGAAAAAUGAUGGGAGAAAAGCUAGAGGGUUCAUCUUCAAGACAAUGAUCAUUUCACUUAAGUGAUCCACAAUGGAACAAAGAGAGAAUGGGACACAAAAAGCACCAAAAAUUAAUGCCCAAGAAAGGAAAACAAGGAAAUCGGGAUAAGAUGAACUAUAAAAAGGAAGUGAAGAUCUGAAUGCUAUUUAGGAGAACAAUAACGUAGGGCCAACUUAGCAGAUUUUUUUUCAAAGAAAAAGAGAGCUUUAUUGUUACCUGUUAAAUAUAUCCACAUUCUUGUUCAUAAUAGUUAUGUUACCAGCUAUCUAUGUAUUAAUGUUAUUCCCAAAUUGGUUACCCAAUAAUCUCUACUUUGCAGAACUAGAAGCAUCCAAAAAAUUCUCAAUGGUCACAACAGCUUUCUAAGACCAAAUUUGAUGAUAUUUAAUAAAUAAAUAAAUAAAUAAAAGGAAAAUAAAAGUGAUCAUAAUUGACAUAUACUUACAAAUAGACAAGUGAAGCUAAAAACACCAGCAGAAUAAGCCUUUGUCUUGAUCCAUUUUGAUUGAACAAAAAAAUCACUGCAGCCAACUUCAAAAUUAGCAAGAGAUCUAGCUGAAAUGCAAUUUGAAAUCUUCUGACAACUAUUUGUCGUUGGGGUCCAAGCUGUUGUUGCUGCUGUCCCAUCUGACCUUGCUCCUCACCAACCGCUCCAUUUUCUGGAAUACUAGGUCCACUAUCAAGAACAGCCAAGCUUUUUUCUUUUAGAAAGGAGAGACUAAUAAGACUGCUUCAAUGGAUUUUUAUGGAAGUAACCCUUUUAAGAAAUUAAAAGUACAACUUCCAAUACUUCAGGUGUAAGCACUGAACAUCGGGGCUUCAUGUUUUGUCAGACUAUAGAGGCAUAUGAAGGAAACGAAGGUAUCAAUAACAUGGCAUGCAAUUGAUUGGAUAUAUAACUACUAGUUUCCAGGCGCAAGAGAAGUUUGUAUGGCUUCAUUCCUAAUAUUUUAAGUUAAUGUCAUUUAAACAGAUGAUAAGUACAGCAAUGAUAGGCUUCAUUCCUACUCUUGGAUGAUUCUUCAGGGUUGGAGUAUUCUAGGCCGCGGUAACUUUAGUACUUCAAUUGUCUAGCCAGAGGUGUUAAUCCGCUGGUGCUAUGGGCUUGGCAACUUUUUAAGAAACGGACCAAAAUUGGUUAAACUGCACUUCUACUGAUGUAUCAGAGAAUUCCAUAAAAACCUACAUGUUGCACUCCUGAAUAGAGAUCUUCAGCUUUGAUUAUAAAAGCAUUAAAAUACCAUACAGAAAUGCACAAUUCUUGCUACAUCAAAUAAGGGAGUCAAGAACUACAACGACGGCAGAGUCCCCAUGCACAAAUAGGAUGUUUUUAUCUAUUCAUUGACAUAAGUUGAAGGAAAGUACCUCCGGCUGCAACAUUGUCAUUUCCUUGCCUUCCAGCACCUGGUGCAUUAUCUGCCCUGAUAGCAGCCCUAGGUGGUUGGGGAGGUGCAGCUGCCCUCUGCAUUCCUUGUGAAAGCCACCGUAUCAAAGGUGCAAGAGCUCCAGUUUGAUAUCUACAAUAACCAAUAGGGAAAUAUAUGGUGCCACUUAAUGACAAAGCAAAAAGAAAAGGACAUGUAUUUCAAUGAACACAACAGUAAGUCUUCCCUCGUCAAUUCAACCAACAUACAAAUUAUAUGAUAAAAAGAAAAAAACUAUGAUACAAAAAUAUGGAGGCAUUAUAGCACUAAUUACACUUAUUCAAGUUGGUUACUGUGGUAAGCAAGCAUAUUUAGUGGGGCCAGUAAACCAGAAAAAUGAUGGGAGAAAAGCUAGAGGGUUCAUCUUCAAGACAAUGAUCAUUUCACUUAAGUGAUCCACAAUGGAACAAAGAGAGAAUGGGACACAAAAAGCACCAAAAAUUAACGCCCAAGAAAGGAAAACAAGGAAAUCGGGAUAAGAUGAACUAUAAAAAGGAAGUGAAGAUCUGAAUGCUAUUUAGGAGAACAAUAACGUAGGGCCAACUUAGCAGAUUUUUUUUCAAAGAAAAAGAGAGCUUUAUUGUUACCUGUUAAAUAUAUCCACAUUCUUGUUCAUAAUAGUUAUGUUACCAGCUAUCUAUGUAUUAAUGUUAUUCCCAAAUUGGUUACCCAAUAAUCUCUACUUUGCAGAACUAGAAGCAUCCAAAAAAUUCUCAAUGGUCACAACAGCUUUCUAAGACCAAAUUUGA